rnacentral:lncRNA from 1 species
CCCGGCUAAUUUUUUGUAUUUUUAGUAGAGACGGGGUUUCACCGUUUUAGCCGGGAUGGUCUCGAUCUCCUGACCUCGUGAUCCGCCCGCCUCGGCCUCAGAAACAUUUUCAAUCAGGCUCAAAGAAUGCAGGAACUGUGGGGCCAGGUUUCAUAUAAAAUGCGUUUUAGAGUUCACUUGGUGAGAUAUUCCCCUCAAAGAGCACAGGGACUUGAUUCCCCAGCACUCUCCUGCCUCUGGAUCUUUGCUCAAGCUGUUGUCUCUGUCUGGAGUGCCCUUCACCUCCAUGUCUGCUUGUUGAAGAUUUGCUGCCUCUAGGACACCUCUUCCAAGAAGCUUUCUGGAACCUUCUCCAAGUCGGAAUUAUGGUUUUUCUCAGGCAUUGCACAUGGCUUGUGCCAUUCACUGCUGACUGCUUUGCAUUAGGGUUCUUUUGGUCUUAGAGCCCUGUAGCUGAUUUAUUAAAGGUGUGGGCUGCCUAGGAUGGUGGUUUCCUGCCAUGGCUUCACAUUAGAACCACCUGGGGAGCCUUGACUCACCUGGCCAAGUGGAAACCAGCAUCAGUAUAUUUCGAGAGCUCCUCAGGUGGUUCUAAUGUGCAACCAGGAAUAAGAGCCUUGCACUGAGACCUCCUCCCAUCUCAUGCAUGGAAUUUUUCUUGCAUCUGUUCUUCCAGCUCACAGGCCCCUUCCCCUCACGACAUGGAAAGAGAGAUGAGUUUCCACUAAGACAAGACCUUAGCUCUGACUUGAUGUCUUAAGCAGGAGAUGUAAAACCUAACUCACAGUGUCCGCGGGGUCCUGAAUUUCUGUUCCACCCCUUUCAGCCAACUGGCAGCUUGGACUGGAGUUAGCGACAGAUGUCUUCUGAGCAGGACUUACAGCUACUCAACCAUGGUGGUGCUGAGUAAAGGAUGUUAACAGAAAUGUUUGAGGAAAAAUAAAAACUGCCAGGAGUAGGAGGAAGAGAGAACAAGAAUGUCCCAGCCAGUCCAUUUCUGCCCUUCCUCCUCCCCACCACAGCCAUUCUGCAGAUGAGGAUACCAAAGUCCAGACAGGAACUGGAAGUGACUUUCACUAAGCCACCCUUCAGUGAAGUUGCAGAAGGGUGGCAAUAUAAAAUAAGGACUGCAGGCUGCCUGAGAAACAGGUACAAGAUAGGUGCGGUGAUGACUUCUUCAAAUACAAAUGUCUAACUUUGCUGUUAUUGGCAUUUAUUAUUUUCAAGAGUGAAACUUCAGCUGAUUCCCAAAGAUCCAGAAUAAGAGUCAUAUUUAGUAGGACAACGACAAAUUGGUUUUGUGACAGACUAUGGAAUAGGUCCAUCCAUUCCUCAUGCUGUAGCACCCUGAGGACAAGUUAUGCCUGGCUUACUCUCCAAUGUGUGUCUAGUGCCAAAACAGUUCCUGGGACAAAUUUGUUGGAUGAAUGAGCCCUGAGUCCCUACUUUGAAAACUUACUAUCUGUCCAGAUCUAUGCUAAGCAUUAAGAGGAAUAAAAAAGGAGAAAUAGAUACAGUCUAUUCUCUCCUUCAGCUUUUGAUCUGGUUGUAAAAGAACUGCUGCAAACUGGCUUUGUGACCAAGGCAAGUUACUCAACCUCUCUGAUGCUGUUUCUUCCUCUUAUCUCCCUGAUAAAAUAAAGAUAACAGUACCUACCCCACAGAGUUAUUGUGAAGCUUAAAUGAAGUCAAGCAUUUAAAGCUACUGGCAUUUAGAGUUGUUCAAUAAAUUGAAGUUUACAGUUCUAUCAGCGUAAAAUAUUAGCUAUACAUAAUUCGAGUUAUUUUUGACAAUUGAACUUUUUGGUAGCUCUGGGCUUGUCCCUUAAAUUCCAUUUAGUCAAUUUAUUUGAAAAGCUUUCUAGCAUACUGAAUUUUUUCCUGCUGUAUAAAACUUGGCUGAAUUCAGAGUCAGCAUUAUGAUGGAUUCAUGUAAUUUAAUGAAUGGAUGAGAUGUGUAAGAUUGAUUGUCCAUUCACUAAAUGGUCCCAGAUCGCCCAGACCUUUUGUUUUGUUUUUCGUAGGUCUAUUGGUCUCCUCUC